ACUUCCUAAGCCGGAACGAAAAGUUGAGGAGUUUAGUUACUUUGAUACUUUUGGCUUUGUGGUUGUGAUGUUGUGUUUGCAAGUUGUCUGGAAAUACCAGACUUUGUAGCGUUAGCUACUGUUGUCACUUCCUGUACAUUUACCCUGUCUGUCCAUAGUGAUUUUUUAUAUGCACCGCCCUAAGCGCGGUGCUUUUUUUU
rnacentral:other from 1 species